UGAAGGACUAAUGUGUCCCAAUGCAGACGCAUUUAUGACUUUUACUGUCAAUUUGAGUUCCAUUGAAAUGGAACCUAGCGAAACCGUAUUUUCUGUUCUGGGAGGUUCUGGCUAAGGCCAAACCUCAGCAACCCCUAACUUCUUUUCUUUUGUUUUCAUUGCAGUCACCUAAAUUGUACUGCCCAAUUCAAUCAGAGCUAUUCUAGAGGUAAAUUAUCCAUUAUUAUUUGGAGGCAGCGUGGCAGAGUGGAUUUUCGAAGUGUUUUUUGGUCCACACUAGAACUGACUCAAGGCCGGCGUUUUCAAAUUCCUCCGGUUUGAGGGAUGUUUGCGAAAAGUUCCGUUUUCGUGACGGAUUAGUGUGGACGGUAGGCCUAACCGUAGAAAUAAAGCUGCGUUUCUCAAAUUUCUCAGGCCUAUCAGUGUAGACGGAGCCUCUUCAAUAUCCUUACAAAUUACGCCUAAAAAGCGCACAAGAUACACUUACGUGUAUAACGUACAAGAUAUCGUUGUUUAUGGUGAAGGUAAAAAACAUUGACCGCAAGCGAUUGAACUACCAUUUUCUUUGCUUUGAAACUGCCACGCAACUCCGCCUUAAAGCUUGUCGAGAUAUGAGUUAUUAAAUAUAAAAAUGUUGAAGGAAAUAUUUUUUUCUUUUUCAGAAACAGCGUAUACAUCAGAAACCGUUGAUCUUUUAUUUAAAAGAUCCGCCUACGACAAAACGGACGAUUUUUUCAAAUAUAGAAUUUAUAAAGGAAACAUCUCCGUCAUCACGCUUGGAAAGCGCAAUUCUAGAAAAACCAAGUACUCUUACUUCAGUGGAACCAGCUCAUGAAACAUCGAAUCCCAAAGCAAAAGGUGGCCAGUCAGAAAAACCAAGUACUCUUACUUCAGUGGAACCAGCUCAUGAAACAUCGAAUCCCAAAACAAAAGGUGGCCAGUCAGAUGUCCAAUUUUCUAUCCUUUUCCUGCUCGUGUUGAUGAUUUUUCAAGCCUUGUUCCAUACAGGAGUGGUCGCGUGCUAAAGGCAGCAGGUGCAUCCUAAUGCCGGACACUUCUCUUUUUUUCUGUUAUUUUGAUCAGUUGCCGAAUUUAAACGAUUCAUCAAGCAUUAGUGUAAUUUCAGAGUUGAACAAAGAGUUUCCAGCAAUGUGAUUGGUUGAGCGAUUCCUUAUAUGACAUUAUGUUCACCGCGCUAGGCGGAACACAGCGGUCAAACGUCGGGCAUGCGCAAAUGGGUACAUAUUUUGGCAGCUGCGCGCUAAUUUCCCGCGCAAAAAUUUGAAGGAAAACAUGGGAAACAACAAGUGUCACGCAAAAUUUACGAAAA